rnacentral:rRNA from 1 species
ACGAACGCUGGCGGCGUGCCUAAUACAUGCAAGUCGAGCGGACUUGAGGGAGCUUGCUCCCUCUUGUCAGCGGCGGACGGGUGAGUAACACGUGGGCAACCUGCCUGUAAGACUGGGAUAACUUCGGGAAACCGGAGCUAAUACCGGAUAAUCCUUUUCCUCUCAUGAGGAAAAGCUGAAAGACGGCGUAAGCUGUCACUUACAGAUGGGCCCGCGGCGCAUUAGCUAGUUGGUGAGGUAAUGGCUCACCAAGGCGACGAUGCGUAGCCGACCUGAGAGGGUGAUCGGCCACACUGGGACUGAGACACGGCCCAGACUCCUACGGGAGGCAGCAGUAGGGAAUCUUCCGCAAUGGACGAAAGUCUGACGGAGCAACGCCGCGUGAGUGAUGAAGGCCUUCGGGUCGUAAAGCUCUGUUGUUAGGGAAGAACAAGUACCGGAGUAACUGCCGGUACCUUGACGGUACCUAACCAGAAAGCCACGGCUAACUACGUGCCAGCAGCCGCCGUA